AAAGUCACUCUAACAAUUGCUCUAGCCAACAGGGUCUUUCUUAUUUCGAGUAGCCCUAACUAAUCAACAUUCCUAGAGAAUUUUAGCUCCCAAAUGUGGUUAUAUUUGUUUCCAAAAGAAAUUGAGAAAAAAAAAAUUUAAGAAGAGAAAUUAGUACAAUGUUAAAUUUCAAGAACUUCAAGCAAUAGGGACUUGAAAUCAAAACAAAGAAAUAGAACCCUUAAAAUAAAUAUUGAGAAUGAAUUUAAUUGGGAAAUGAAAUAAAAAAAAAAGAAUUAAAUAAUAGUUAGGAGAGAAAGAUAUAAUGUAAGGAAUGAAAGAAAAAAGAAAGUAAUGGAGGAAGAAAAGAGCAUGUGGAAAGAGAAAAAUUAAUCAAAUUGAUCGGGUCAUGUAGGAACAAAGUUCAAGUCUAUCGAUCUGUGCCUCAGUUGCAUACAUCACUACACUUCUACUUGACACUUAUCGCAUAUAUUGUCACGUGCUUAGCGAUUCCAACCCCGAAAAACACUCAAGCCGUGCGACACUUAACUCAGUCUGUCGAACUAAAUUAGCCCUAAUCUCUCAAUACACAGCGGAAGAUGAAUAAAAGGGUUGAUUCCAGCAAUCAACAGAUUACAAGUGCUCACAGCGGUCAAUAAGCACAACCUUGGGUAAUUGAGACCUCAAGGUGUUGUAGAAGCCAAUCACACACACAA
rnacentral:lncRNA from 1 species